UGAAGACCUUUAGCAGAAAAUUAUACUUUAUUAACAUCUAUUGGUAAAGUUAUCUAAGAUGUACCAUCUCAUCCUUCACUCCAUAAGAAAAGAGAAGGACAGAAUUAAACAUGGGGACAGAUGAAGAAGUAAAGAAGAUGAAAAUGAGGAAGAUAAAAAACAAACUGAAGACACAAUGUGAACCCUGGGAAUUCAAGGCUGAAUAGUACGAAGUCCUUUCCUCACAGAGUUCAGGACCCAGGAGUGGAGGCCAGAUAAGGGUUUGAGAGUGUUUGCUGUGGUGUGCAAGAGUUCUGCCACUGAUGAGGGCACAGCUGUGUAUUCUCUGAGCAGUUCUGUCAGCUGAGGUCAGUGUUGAUGAAGGUUACAGGGAUUCUCAGGGACUAAUGUUGUGGGUGGUCAUAGUGGUGGUGAGAGUUGAUGAGAUCUUCAGUGGCAAUGGCUGCUAAUGUCCUCCAGAUCUCUUUUUCUCUCACUAAUGAAGUUGUGGCUGAGGGGAUCCCUGUUGGUACUGGGUCUGGCUUGUGGGCUUCCCUGUGGUAGUGGUGGCAUGAGUGUCUGAUGAGUGCCACCUCUGUAGCGGCCAUGGAGCUGAGGCCUGAAGCAUGGGUGUACAUGGAAGGACUCUGGCUUCGGGGGGCAGUAAUGUUAUUGGUGCUCAGGGUGCAGGCAGCUCUUCUGCUACUGCGUUGGUAAUGUUUGUGAGAGAUGAAUGUCUGUGAAACAGCUGGGAAACUGAGAAUAAGAGCACAGGUAUAUGCAAAGUUACGGUGGCUCUGGGAUU
rnacentral:lncRNA from 1 species